GAUGAACACUGGCGGCGUGCUUAACACAUGCAAGUCGAACGAAGCACUUUAUUUGAUUUCCUUCGGGACUGAUUAUUUUGUGACUGAGUGGCGGACGUGUGAGUAACGCGUGGGUAACCUGCCUUGUACAGGGGGAUAACAGUUGGAAACGGCUGCUAAUACCGCAUAAGCGCACAGCAUCGCAUGAUGCAGUGUGAAAAACUCCGGUGGUAUAAGAUGGACCCGCGUUGGAUUAGCUAGUUGGUGAGGUAACGGCCCACCAAGGCGACGAUCCAUAGCCGACCUGAGAGGGUGACCGGCCACAUUGGGACUGAGACACGGCCCAAACUCCUACGGGAGGCAGCAGUGGGGAAUAUUGCACAAUGGGCGAAAGCCUGAUGCAGCGACGCCGCGUGAGCGAAGAAGUAUUUCGGUAUGUAAAGCUCUAUCAGCAGGGAAGAUAAUGACGGUACCUGACUAAGAAGCACCGGCUAAAUACGUGCCAGCAGCCGCGGUAAUACGUAUGGUGCAAGCGUUAUCCGGAUUUACUGGGUGUAAAGGGAGCGCAGGCGGUGCGGCAAGUCUGAUGUGAAAGCCCGGGGCUCAACCCCGGUACUGCAUUGGAAACUGUCGUACUAGAGUGUCGGAGGGGUAAGCGGAAUUCCUAGUGUAGCGGUGAAAUGCGUAGAUAUUAGGAGGAACACCAGUGGCGAAGGCGGCUUACUGGACGAUAACUGACGCUGAGGCUCGAAAGCGUGGGGAGCAAACAGGAUUAGAUACCCUGGUAGUCCACGCCGUAAACGAUGA
rnacentral:rRNA from 1 species